UGCUCAAUAAAAUUAUCUAUUGAUUGAGUUCAACAUCAUCACUUCCAGAUUAUACUCUGAUGGAGCUAUUGGUCAAAAGCUGUAUGAAAAGUUUGUUCUCAUUAAUUGCAAAUCGUUGAUUUUAAGUUCAAGCAUCCACCACUUUUUUGAUGAUGAGGAGAUUAUACCCGUUCCUCAGAAUGUAGAGAGCCAUCUAGCGCCGAGAUAGUUCAAGGUUAUUCUAGACUGACAUCCAGUCGGUGUUUACGCAACUUUCUCGAGGCUCUUUCUUUACAUUGUUCGAUAGGUUCCUUGUGUAGUGUGGCGUGGUUGUAGGUAUGUUUUGGAAUUUGGAGCACUUCUGGGCACAUUCUCUUGGUGAUUCAUCCGGUUGAUAUCACUGUGAGAUGAAUUAACCUAUCACAGAGCCAAGUUAUAUUUUUGCAAAUCUCUGAGACAAUUCAUUGUUGAAUUUGGUGCUUGUGUAGUAAGUGUGCUUUGGAACUCUCAGAAAAGGAUGCUAACCCGGGUACAGUGACGCACUGGAUUAGGGUUGCCUGUCCGAGAGUUGUGCAUGGCCUGAGGAUAGAAUGUACACGACUAUAAUUACACUUCUCGACAAAACUGAGUUGAGGUUAGUUCAUGUCUAUCCGAAGAUUAAUCUAAGAAAUCGAUAAACACCGCUCUAAUUAAUUGGCCAGGUGCGCUUCACGUCUAAUAGCGUGUAAUGUGUGAUACCAUUGCCAUUUAUUGAUUGUUCCUCGUGCCCAAAUACCGGCACACCUCUCUAAGUAUUUGCACAUCCUCUUUUAAUUAGCAGCAGUCUAUUUUUCCUACCCUAUUCUGCAUGUUUGAAACUAAGUACUCGGGCUCCUACACUUUGUUUCUGUUAUCAUGGAACAAUAUGUAUCUUCUUGUCCGUUUGCAUAUGAACACUUCGCUCUGAUGCUGCAGAUUGUGAGAAUGCAUGUUCGAAGUCCAGGUUCUCUAACAAACCAAAAGAAAUGCAAUUUGCUGCAGCAUGUGGAAGGUUAUGACGAUGGACUGUUGUUCAACUGCUGUCUCUGUGGUCUGUCUAAGUCCCAAAUAGCGAAGCACGGAAGCGAGGAUGCGUUGUUCUUUGCUACCGCAGGAUCACUAGCCUCGCCUUUCUGCCAUUGUUUCUCACAUCAUUGCUUUCUGUCUCGGAUCUUAUCUCACCCUGAAAUACAAUAAUCUGGGACUGUUGCAUGCCAAGGGCAACCCAAGAAAGUUCCUCGAUGUUUUUUUGAAGCUUGACACCUGUCGAGCAAGUUCCGAUUGUAUUGCUUAAGUACCAAACACUGAGUCGAGACACUGGCUGUAAUAGCAAGGCUGGAACCUGUUGCAGCCGGGUGUGAGCGCAGCGAUUUUGCAGAAGUCUUUAAUGUGCUCACUACGUUUAUCACGGUCAAAAUAAUGACUGGCUUCUGAAGUUGGACGUAAUUGUGGCCACCGCAGCAGUGCACAAACCUCUUACCACCAUUGUCCGGUACAUAGCAAAGCAUUCUGACAUGGAGGUUCAAAUUUUUGUCGCCCAACAGACUCAACGUCAGAGAUACGAUCACGAGGUUGUGGGAUGAAAGAGUUGCAUAUUUUGGGGGUGUCUAUGUGCAAGAAGCAGUAGGAAUCUCUCAUCUGUUGGCUGUUGGUGGGAGUCUGCGAAAAGGCUUUGCUGAGGGAAAUCAACGAGAAAUCCAUCACAACAGCAGCGUCUCGUGUAGAAGUGUAGUAUCCAAGGUUCAGAGUGCAAAUGAGUUGGUGCAGCUUGGCGAGUAGCAGCGGCGUUCGAGGUUGGAGACAGUUGCAGGCGAGCGAUGAGCUCAUCAUCAAGACAUGCCAUUAGUGGGCUACUUCGAAAAUGAAUGGCUUGUCUUGUGGAUCUGAGGCAUUGGGUGAAAUAUGGGCAAGGGUUAUGAAGAUGGGCGAGGAGUAAAUGGAAUCAGGCGGAGCAACGUGGGGAUGCCUGGGUGGCAGAGCAGCUAGAUCCAGAUGUUACCCAUGCCUUCAGUGGAGUUUUCGAAGCCCAGGGUUGGCACCAAAAGUAACGGCUUGACAGCUUGUCGGACUUGUGCAUGGGGAGCUCAAGCACCGCGGAUUUAUGCAUGGGGUGCUGUGCGCGUUGGGGUCACGCUACCGUGCUUGGAACCUGAGGGUUACAACCUGAUGUUAAAACACGGUAGCAGGGCGUGUUGGUGCUCCUGGUAAAGCUGAGGGAACCAUUGCUACCUAUUUUAGUUGCAGAGAAGCCCAUGGAUUGAGGGUGGGCAUAAUACUUGAGUUGCGCUUGAGAUAUUCCAAAACCGCAAUUCCAUAACCGGGACUCGAACCCGGGUCGCCUGGGUGAAAGCCAGCGAGUCUGCAAUGAGGCGGAUAUGAGAGAAGGGGAUUGCAACAACGGCAGGGUCGGUGGAGAUUGCUCUGGAUAGAGAUAUUGGCUUGAUCGCGUCGUUGUUUCUUGUGGACCGCAACCUGUCAUCGCGAAUCCGUAUCACCGACACGGCUACUGCUCCAAGCCACUGUACCAGAGAGUUAUCAGGGUGUUUCCAGAGAAGUUGUGCAGCAGCCCGCUACCAGAAACUCACGUCGCCGUCGGAGGGAGUCGAAUCUUGACCCCUAAGAUUGCAGAGACCGUUGAAGACGUACCGAGUCUUGUCAGAAUAUAUUAGUAUGCUUGUAAUUAUGUUACGUUAUGCAUUACUAAUGUAUAAUUAAUAGUAGUUAAACAAUAUAAAGUAUCUAAUUUUUCAAGUAAAAUUGAAAGAUAUUUUCAAUGAAUGUUUUAUGUAAAACAUUUGUAAAAAUAGUAUUUGUAAAAAUAGAAUAGCACAAACUUAUAGUUAUUAUUCUAGUAUAUAGAAGAAAAAAAAUCCUAAUACAUAACUAGGUGAACUUGUAUUUGAAAUUCAAAUUAUUUAACAUAAUAGUUAUCUAAGA